rnacentral:rRNA from 1 species
GGUUUUAAAAUGAGCAGCGAGCUGCAGAAAGGCGUAGUCGAUGGGAAACAGGUUAAUAUUCCUGUACUUGGUGUUACUGCGAAGGGGGGACGGAGAAGGCUAUGUUAGCCGGGCGACGGUUGUCCCGGUUUAAGCAUGUAGGCUGGUUAUCCAGGCAAAUCCGGAUAACCAAGGCUGAGGUGUGAUGACGAGGCACUACGGUGCUGAAGUAACAAAUGCCCUGCUUCCAGGAAAAGCCUCUAAGCAUCAGGUAACAUUAAAUCGUACCCCAAACCGACACAGGUGGUCAGGUAGAGAAUACCAAGGCGCUUGAGAGAACUCGGGUGAAGGAACUAGGCAAAAUGGUGCCGUAACUUCGGGAGAAGGCACGCUGGUGUGUAGGUGAAGCCCCUGCGGGUGGAGCUGAGACCAGUCGAAGAUACCAGCUGGCUGCAACUGUUUAUUAAAAACACAGCACUGUGCAAACACGAAAGUGGACGUAUACGGUGUGACGCCUGCCCGGUGCCGGAAGGUUAAUUGAUGGGG